rnacentral:rRNA from 1 species
UACGUAGGGUGCGAGCGUUGUCCGGAAUUAUUGGGCGUAAAGGGCUCGUAGGCGGUUUGUCGCGUCGGGAGUGAAAACUCAGGGCUUAACCCUGAGCCUGCUUCCGAUACGGGCAGACUAGAGGUAUGCAGGGGAGAACGGAAUUCCUGGUGUAGCGGUGAAAUGCGCAGAUAUCUGGAGGAACACCGGUGGCGAAGGCGGCAUCCUGGACCAACACUGACGCUGAGGAGCGAAAGCCAGGGGAGCAAACGGG